GAUGAACGCUGGCGGCGUGCCUAAUACAUGCAAGUCGAGCGAACGGACGAGAAGCUUGCUUCUCUGAUGUUAGCGGCGGACGGGUGAGUAACACGUGGAUAACCUACCUAUAAGACUGGGAUAACUUCGGGAAACCGGAGCUAAUACCGGAUAAUAUUUUGAACCGCAUGGUUCAAAAGUGAAAGACGGUCUUGCUGUCACUUAUAGAUGGAUCCGCGCUGCAUUAGCUAGUUGGUAAGGUAACGGCUUACCAAGGCAACGAUGCAUAGCCGACCUGAGAGGGUGAUCGGCCACACUGGAACUGAGACACGGUCCAGACUCCUACGGGAGGCAGCAGUAGGGAAUCUUCCGCAAUGGGCGAAAGCCUGACGGAGCAACGCCGCGUGAGUGAUGAAGGUCUUCGGAUCGUAAAACUCUGUUAUUAGGGAAGAACAUAUGUGUAAGUAACUGUGCACAUCUUGACGGUACCUAAUCAGAAAGCCACGGCUAACUACGUGCCAGCAGCCGCGGUAAUACGUAGGUGGCAAGCGUUAUCCGGAAUUAUUGGGCGUAAAGCGCGCGUAGGCGGUUUUUUAAGUCUGAUGUGAAAGCCCACGGCUCAACCGUGGAGGGUCAUUGGAAACUGGAAAACUUGAGUGCAGAAGAGGAAAGUGGAAUUCCAUGUGUAGCGGUGAAAUGCGCAGAGAUAUGGAGGAACACCAGUGGCGAAGGCGACUUUCUGGUCUGUAACUGACGCUGAUGUGCGAAAGCGUGGGGAUCAAACAGGAUUAGAUACCCUGGUAGUCCACGCCGUAAACGAUGAGUGCUAAGUGUUAGGGGGUUUCCGCCCCUUAGUGCUGCAGCUAACGCAUUAAGCACUCCGCCUGGGGAGUACGACCGCAAGGUUGAAACUCAAAGGAAUUGACGGGGACCCGCACAAGCGGUGGAGCAUGUGGUUUAAUUCGAAGCAACGCGAAGAACCUUACCAAAUCUUGACAUCCUUUGACAACUCUAGAGAUAGAGCUUUCCCCUUCGGGGGACAAAGUGACAGGUGGUGCAUGGUUGUCGUCAGCUCGUGUCGUGAGAUGUUGGGUUAAGUCCCGCAACGAGCGCAACCCUUAAGCUUAGUUGCCAUCAUUAAGUUGGGCACUCUAAGUUGACUGCCGGUGACAAACCGGAGGAAGGUGGGGGUGACGUCAAAUCAUCAUGCCCCUUAUGAUUUGGGCUACACACGUGCUACAAUGGACAAUACAAAGGGCAGCGAAACCGCGAGGUCAAGCAAAUCCCAUAAAGUUGUUCUCAGUUCGGAUUGUAGUCUGCAACUCGACUACAUGAAGCUGGAAUCGCUAGUAAUCGUAGAUCAGCAUGCUACGGUGAAUACGUUCCCGGGUCU
rnacentral:rRNA from 1 species